rnacentral:tRNA from 2 species
GGGCCUGUAGUUAAGUGGUAAAACGCUGCAUUCGCAUUGCAGAGGCGCGAGUCCGAUUCUCGCCAGGUCCA